AGGAUCCAAGCGUUAUCCGGAUUUAUUGGGUUUAAAGGGUGCGUAGGCGGCCUAUUAAGUCAGGGGUGAAAUUCGGCAGCUUAACUGUCGGCGUGCCUUUGAUACUGAUAGGCUUGAAUGCGGAUGAGGUAGGCGGAAUGAGACAAGUAGCGGUGAAAUGCAUAGAUAUGUCGCAGAACUCCGAUUGCGAAGGCAGCUUACUAAGUCGUGAUUGACGCUGAUGCACGAAAGCGUGGGGAUCAA
rnacentral:rRNA from 1 species